rnacentral:rRNA from 1 species
AUUGAACGCUGGCGGCAGGCCUAACACAUGCAAGUCGAGCGGAGCGGCGGACGGGUGAGUAAUACCUAGGAAUCUGCCUGGUAGCGGGGGAUAAAGUUCGGAAACGGACGCUAAUACCGCAAAGUAUCAGAUGAGCCUAGGUCGGAUUGGUUAGUUGGUGGGGGAAUGGCUCACCAAGGCUACGAUCCGUAACUGGUCUGGGGGGCUGAUCAGGCACCUGGGAGCUGAGACACGGUCCAGACGCCUGCGGGAGGCAGCAUGGGGGAAUAUUGGACAAUGGGCGAAAGCCUGAUCCAGCCAUGCCGCGUGUGUUGAGAAGGUCUUCGGAUUGUAAAGCACUUUAAGUUGGGAGGCGUUACCGACAGAAUAAGCACCGGCUAACUACGUGCCAGCCGCCGCGGUAAUUC